UACGAAGGGGGCUAGCGUUGCUCGGAAUUACUGGGCGUAAAGGGCGCGUAGGCGGACAGUUUAGUCAGAGGUGAAAGCCCCAGGGCUCAACCUUGGAACUGCCUUUGAUACUGACUGUCUUGAGUUCGGGAGAGGUGAGUGGAAUGCCGAGUGUAGAGGUGAAAUUCGUAGAUAUUCGGCGGAACACCAGUGGGCGAAGGCGACUCACUGGCCCGAUACUGACGCUGAGGCGCGAAAGCGUGGGGAGCAAACAGG
rnacentral:rRNA from 1 species